rnacentral:rRNA from 1 species
GAUGAACGCUGGCGGCGUGCCUAAUACAUGCAAGUCGCGCGAACAGACGAGGAGCUUGCUCCUCUGACGUUAGCGGCGGACGGGUGAGUAACACGUGGAUAACCUACCUAUAAGACUGGGAUAACUUCGGGAAACCGGAGCUAAUACCGGAUAACAUGUUGAACCGCAUGGUUCAACAGUGAAAGACGGUUUUGCUGUCACUUAUAGAUGGAUCCGCGUCGCAUUAGCUAGUUGGUAAGGUAACGGCUUACCAAGGCAACGAUGCGUAGCCGACCUGAGAGGGGGGUCGGCCACAGUGGAACUGAGACACGGGCCGGACUCCUAGGGGAGGCAGCAGGAGGGAAUCUUCCGCAAGGGGGGAAGGCCUGAGGGAGCACGGCGGGGUGAGUGAAGAGGGUCUACGGACCGUAAAACUGUGUUAUAAGGGAAGAAAAAAGGUGUACGUAAUUAUGCACGUCUGGACGGUACCUAAUAAGAAAGCAACGGCUACGUCCGGG